UACGAAGGGUACAAGCGUUAUUCGGAAUAACUGGGCGUAAAGAGCAUGUAGGCGGCUUAUUAAGUUGGAUGUUAAAGCCCGCGGCUUAACCGCGGACGUGCGUCUGAUACUGGUAAGCUAGAGCACAAGAGAGAGAAGUGGAAUUCCCGGAGUAGCGGUAAAAUGCGUAGAUCUCGGGAGGAACACCGAUGGCGAAGGCAGCUUCUUGGCUUGUGGCUGACGCUAAAGUGCGAAAGCGUGGGGAGCAAACAGGAUUAGAUACCCUGGUAGUCCACGCCGUAAACGAUGAUCACUGGACGUGGGUUCUGCAUUGCAGGAUCCGUGUCGAAGCUAACGCGUUAAGUGAUCCGCCUGGGAAGUACGGUCGCAAGAUUA
rnacentral:rRNA from 1 species